UACGAAGGGGGCUAGCGUUGCUCGGAAUUACUGGGCGUAAAGGGAGCGUAGGCGGACAUUUAAGUCAGGGGUGAAAUCCCAGAGCUCAACUCCAGAACUGCCUUUGAUACUGAGGAUCUUGAGUUCGGGAGAGGUGAGUGGAACUGCGAGUGUAGAGGUGAAAUUCGUAGAUAUUCGCAAGAACACCAGUGGCGAAGGCGGCUCACUGGCCCGAUACUGACGCUGAGGCACGAAAGCGUGGGGAGCAAACAGG
rnacentral:rRNA from 1 species